rnacentral:rRNA from 1 species
GCAUUAAGUACUCCGCCUGGGAAGUACGGCCGCAAGGCUGAAACUCAAAGGAAUUGACGGGGGCCCGCACAAGCGGUGGAGCAUGUGGUUUAAUUCGAUGCAACGCGAGGAACCUUACCGGGGCUUAAACUUGUAGGAAAAGCUGGGGAAACCCAGUGUGCCUUCGGGCGUCUAUGAGAGGUGCUGCAUGGCUGUCGUCAGCUCGUGUCGUGAGAUGUUGGGUUAAGUCCCGCAACGAGCGCAACCCUUGUUGCUAGUUACCAGCGGAUAAUGCCGGGGACUCUAGCAAGACUGCCCACGCAAGUGGGAGGAAGGUGGGGAUGACGUCAAGUCCUCAUGGCCCUUACGUCCCGGGCUACACACGUGCUACAAUGGCCGGUACAAAGUGUCGCGAGACCGCGAGGUGGAGCUAAUCACAAAAAGCCGGCCCCAGUUCGGAUUGCAGUCUGCAACUCGACUGCAUGAAGGCGGAAUCGCUAGUAAUCCCGUAUCAGCAAUGACGGGGUGAAUCCGUUCCCGGGCCUUGUACACACCGCCCGUCACACCACGGAAGUU